CAGUCCAACCUGGUGCUGGUCUCCGCCAUCAACGGAGCCUGCCCCGCUGGAGGCUGCCUGGUGGCCCUGACCUGUGACUACCGCAUCCUGGCGGACAACCCCAGGUACUGCAUAGGACUCAAUGAGACCCAGCUGGGCAUCAUCGCCCCUUUCUGGUUGAAAGACACCCUGGAGAACACCAUCGGGCACCGGGCGGCGGAGCGUGCCCUGCAGCUGGGGCUGCUCUUCCCGCCGGCGGAGGCCCUGCAGGUGGGCAUAGUGGACCAGGUGGUCCCGGAGGAGCAGGUGCAGAGCACUGCGCUGUCAGCAAUAGCCCAGUGGAUGGCCAUUCCAGGUGAGGCACAGGGCAUGGCAGGCGCCCGAUGAUGCUGGGGAGACCAGAAGGUUCUCCACCCAAAGGUUUUCUGUGGACAUCGUGACUUCGGGAGACUGUUGAUAAUCACAGCUAUGUGGGUGUCAGGAGGCUGCUGUAACAACGCAGCACAGACCGGGUGGCCCAGACCGCAGAAGCUCAUCUCACAGGGCUGGAGACCAGAGGUGCAAAAUCAAGGUGUGGGCAGGGCUGCACUUCCUCCCUGCGUUCCAGGGAGGCUCCUUCCUGCCCCACCCACUUCUGCUGGCUUCAGGCCUCCCUGGGCUUGUGGGCGCCUCGCUCUAAUCUCUGCCUCCAUCCUUACGCAGCUUUCUCCCCUGUGUUUCUGUGGGUCUCAGGUCUCUCUCUCCCUUCUCAGGACACCUGCCAUGUGAUUUAGGACCUACCCUAAAUCCAAGAUGAUCCCAACUUAAUUACAUCUGCAGAGACUCUUUCCAAAUAAGGUCACACUUCCAAGUUCCAGAGCAGUGGUUAGGGCUUGGACCUAUCUUUUGGGGCACACUUUUCAACCUACUACAAAGACAAUUGUCCACUUCAUAGAAAAAGAGCUGGUCAUAUCAGCAAUGGUAUAGACCAGGGCCCAGCAAAUUCU
rnacentral:sRNA from 1 species